UACGUAGGCAGCAAGCGUUGUUCGGAAUUACUGGGCGUAAAGCGCACGUAGGCGGCUUUGCAAGUCAGAGGUGAAAGCCCGGGGCUCAACCCCGGAAUUGCCUUUGAGACUGCAUCGCUAGAAUUGUGGAGAGGUAAGUGGAAUUCCGAGUGUAGAGGUGAAAUUCGUAGAUAUUCGGAAGAACACCAGUGGCGAAGGCGACUUACUGGACACAUAUUGACGCUGAGGUGCGAAAGCGUGGGGAGCAAACAGG
rnacentral:rRNA from 1 species